AAAAAAUUAGUUAAAUAGUAUAACAUUAGUUUGUCAAACUAAAAUUAUCAAUCUACUGAUAUUUUUUA
rnacentral:tRNA from 1 species